GAGGAUUUGGUUCCCCUGUAGCUCGAACCCACCCUGGGAAAAAGCCUGGCCGUCAUCCUUUCUCCACUGCACGGUGUCAGCGAAUGGACUUCUGCCAGAAGCCCUGUCGUUUUUAUGCCCGGCCUGCUACUAGCACAAAAGGGGAAACUCCAGUGAUGUCACCCAGUGAGUGGAGACAUAGCAGAGCAGCAGCAGCAAACUGGCUGUGGAGAGUUGGUUAUGGUUCAAAGGAAAAUAAAAUCCACAGACCAGCUCCACCAAACUGGGAUUCCAAUGGAACUGGUUUCGUACAUCACCCUUUCCAAACCACCAAACAGGUUUUUGACUUCUCCUUGUUGACCCAAUCUGGCUUCCUUAUUUCGCUGCCCUCCCUGACUGGUUGAGCGAGUUCGGAGCACAACACGGUUUAUUUGUGGGAUUUCCAUCACCCAUACACUACCUGAUCUGAGUUUUGUUUGCAUAUUGUUUCAUCUAAUUCCUGUUUCUGUUAAAUCAGUUAUCAAUUAGUGAUAAACAAGCACUGUAUACCUUCAAACAUGGUUACAACUCUCAUUUUGAUAUCAUAUUUGGAARGUAUUUGCAUCCAUAGCUCUGUCUAUGAAUUUGAGAGUGGUUAUACUUAAGUUUGAAUUCUCUGUUGUUUCUUGCUUUCUUCUUGUCACGUUCCUGACCUUAUUUCCUUUGUUCAGUCUUGUUUAGUUGGUCAGGACGUGAGCUGG